UUCUAGAUACAUACAAGACAUUUUCCUCUCUUUAAUAAUAUUUUUUUAACAAUUGGAAAACCAGAAUUUUCAAGACAGGUAUAGUGUAAAAGGAAAGUGAUAACCUCAAGCUAAUAUAUUCAAGGCAUAUUAUAAUGGACAUGGCACCAGGACCUAUGAAUUUCUGAUCUGAAUGUCAAAGUAGGCAAUAUCAUCUGGUGACAUGGGCUUGAAAUCUGGGGGUUUUAGUUGGAGAGAGAGACUAUGGUACAUAAGUUGUAAUGAAGAGUAAAGAAUACACCUAUUCAUCACCAUUCCCAGUGAUUUGCAGAGAAUUUGAAAGGAAGGGUCAGAGCCUAACAGUCAUAGAAAAGAUUCAGGUUUCAUGUGGGACAAGAAUAUGGAAGGAGUCAUCAUAAUAAAUUGACGAGAUGUGGGUUCCAGAAAGUGUAGAGAAAAAUUUUCCAUAUUUGGAGAGAGAGAGAGAAUAUAGGUUUGUGCUAGUGCUAUGUCAGGAUGGUAUCCAUAAGAGCAUGAGAAGCUGAGAUUUUCAAGAAAGCCUAGGAUUUGGGGAUUUUUGUUGUUGUUGUUAUUGAUACAAAUAGGCAAAAAAGGCAUGGGAAGAUGAGUUCUGGUCUCUUGAGAUAAUUUUUCUGAAAGUUUGAGUAGUGGGAUAAUUUGAUACUGAUGUAGGAAGGAGUUAGGGGCAGACAGGACUAGGCAGGGAAAGAUAAGAAAGGUCCCAGAGUUAGACUCCUACCCAUCCCAAGAAAACAGAGAUAAGACAGUAAAAACAGAAAAAAUAAACCUGGCUCCCUAGCUCCAAAAUGUGAGGGAGUACCUCCCUUGAGUGGCUAUUAAGUAAUCACAGAAACCAGGCCACGAAGAAAUAUGUCAUUAAGGGGUUAUCAAUAGUCCCUGCUCAAACCAAGAUGCACAAGAAUCUCAAGGCCAUGGGCUACCUGACUAGGCUCACAGAAAUCCCUGGUGUAGAGGAAUAUUAUGUAACAGAUAGUCACCAGAAAGCAGGGAACACCUUGUUUGGGCUCAUGAUAUUUAUAAGAACAUCUUGUCAGUUAUUAUGAUGGUUACCAGUCCACCAUGUUUGUUCUAAAUAUCCACCUUGAUAUUGACAAGAAAUUCACCAAGUUCCCUGAUCAGUUUCCUAUAAAAGACAGACCCUAAAAGCCCUCAGGGGCAACCCUGUCAGGACCCCUCUCACUCCUGAGAGCUCUCUGUUCUCUGCUUAAUAAACUACCGCUUUGCCCACUCUCUGUCAUCUCUGAGAUUCAUGCUUCGAUUCCAUGAGACAAGAACCAGGCUCUCUCAUAUCAAUAGGGAGGAGGAAAAUUUUCAGGAGUAAGGAGAAUGCUGUGGAUCCCUCCUUUCUAGAUAAUAGCAAUACAAGACCCAAUGGACGGUUUUGUGAAGACAACACAAGAGCUUAGCCCCCCUUCUUCAUUCCUAUUGUGAAAAAGGAAGUUACGAAACUAGAUCCUAAGUGAAACACAUUUAUAUACAAGAAUUGUUGAUAAAAAAGUAUUACAAAGAGAUUUUCUAUAAAUGAUUACAGUGGAGAAGAUAUUGAGAACACCCUAGAUAUAAUUUUGUUUACUAGAUAGUUAUGAUCUGGGAACCAACCCAGGAAAUAGUGCCUCAGGUUUGGUGCAUUUUGGAGGUGCAACCAGUCCAAAUAUCUUUCAACCAAUCACCCCACAUCAUUGUAAAUCAAGCCAGUCUGGAGGAUUGUUCUCUUCUGUUGACUUUUUGCCAAAUGAAAUAAUGCACUGCAGGAAUAAAUCAGGUAAUGCAUAUUUUCUCAGGAUUAAUAAAGCAUGUAGUAGUAUGUCCUGCUUUGUGUCACUGUUUAUUUGGGGUGCAAUAUGAGGAAAAAAUCUUACAAAUACUAUCAGUAAUCAAUUUUAAAGGUUUUCUUGUAUCUAAACAGAAACACUGAUGGAAAUCUUUCAACCAGCAUACACACACGCACACAAACUGUAAUAGACUAACAACAUGAUUUGGGUGGAAUCUUACAAAUCUGAUGAAGACACCACCAGGGAUAUCUUUUCAGCACUUCUUGACUUUCAGAGAUACAAUUCCUGAUAUCUAGCAUGACACCUAGCCACUUGUGCAAUAGAGCUUUUCACCUGACAUGCCACGCAUUCGCAAAGAUGUGAAUAUAAGCUCUUCCCCUCUCUGAGUUCAAUCCAUCUUAAAAUUUUCCUACAAUAAGAAGCACUGUUGCCCUGCAGUUUGCAAUAUACAUUUACAACUAAUCCAUGACCACUUUGAAACAACGGUAUGUCAUUUAACAGAUACUGUGAGUACUUUAUAAUAACACCACAAUCCUAGUCCCCUCCUAUUGUCUCUUGUCCUG